rnacentral:rRNA from 1 species
UGGGGAAUUUUGGACAAUGGGCGAAAGCCUGAUCCAGCAAUGCCGCGUGUGUGAAGAAGGCCUUCGGGUUGUAAAGCACUUUUGUCCGGAAAGAAAUCCUCUGGGUUAAUACCUCGGGGGGAGUGACGGUACCGGAAGAAUAAGCACCGGCUAACUACGUGCCAGCAGCCGCGGUAAUACGUAGGGUGCAAGCGUUAAUCGGAAUUACUGGGCGUAAAGCGUGCGCAGGCGGUUUUGUAAGACGGAUGUGAAAUCCCCGGGCUUAACCUGGGAACUGCAUUCGUGACUGCAAGGCUAGAGUAUGGCAGAGGGGGGUAGAAUUCCACGUGUAGCAGUGAAAUGCGUAGAGAUGUGGAGGAAUACCGAUGGCGAAGGCAGCCCCCUGGGCCAAGUACUGACGCUCAUGCACGAAAGCGUGGGGGAGCAAAACAGGAUUUAGAUACCCCUGGUAGUCCACGCCCCUAAAACGAUGUCAACUAGUUGUUGGGGAUUCAUUUCCUUAGUAACGUAGCUAACGCGUGAAGUUGACCGCCUGGGGAGUACGGUCGCAAGAUUAAAACUCAAAUGAAUUGAC